ensembl:snRNA Gm22105 predicted gene, 22105
GUGUUAUAUGAUGAGAGAGGUUAGCACUCCUCUUGACAGGGAUAAAAGACGCUCUUGGGCCUAACAACACGCAUAUAGUUAAGGCAUUGCUACCUAUGUCAUAAUUUUAUACAUUU